rnacentral:rRNA from 1 species
UACGGGGGGGGUAAGCGGUUGUUCGGAAUUACUGGGCGUAAAGGGCUCGUAGGCGGCCAACUAAGUCAGACGUGAAAUCCCUCAGCUUAACUGGGGAACUGCGUCUGAUACUGGAUGGCUUGGAUUCGGGAGAGGAAUGCGGAAUUCCAGGUGUAGCGGUGAAAUGCGUAGAUAUCUGGAAGAACACCCGUGGCGAAGGCGGUUCUCUGGGACGGUACUGACGCUGAGACGCGAAAGCGUGGGGAGCGAACAGG